CACGUUGCCUUGGUUAAGAUGGCUGCCAAAAGUUUUGCUUCCCGUCUCAGAGGCUCCCGGCACCUUUUGAGUGCCUUCGUGGCCGGAGCUGUAGUGGGCGCCGCGGGAGCCGGGUUCACGGCCGUUCAGUUCCUCCGGAGUCAGGGCGCUGAGGCGGCGUUGGCGGUGAGGGAGCCCGGCGGUUCUGCAGAAAAGGCUCUCUUGGAACAAUUUGGAUUCCCUUUAACUGGAACAGAAACUAGGUGUUACACUAAUCAUGCUUUGUCUUAUGAUCAGUCAAAGCGGGUGCCUAGAUGGGUUCUUGAACAUAUAUCCAAAAGCAAGAUAAUGGGUAGGUGGUUAGAAGUAAAGGCAUUGAUGAAAGAUGUUUCCAAAUUUAGAACAGGGAUUAUUGAUAAUCUCAACCUUUUUUCACAUUACCGCGCAUUUAGAAAAUGAUGAUGUUUGUAUGGCUUACUAGAUAAAUAGACCCUUCCUGGCAGCCAGGGAGCCCCAGACCCUUCCCAGCUGUCUCAGGGGCUGAGAGGAUCUGUAUCUUCACACACAAAUUGGAGGCUCUGUCAUAAAUAUUGCUGCAGUGAGCACCAUUCAUUCAUUACCUCCACAAAUAUUUUUUAAGUGCCUACCAUGUGUCUGGCACUGUGCUAAGCCUUCGGGAUAUAUCAGUGACCAGAGUAGAUGGUCUCUAUCCCGCUGUGGCACUUUGAGUUGGGAAGGGGGUGGGUUGACCUAUCAAACAAAUAAUUGUGAAUAUAUAAUUACUAUUGAUAAUAACUGUUCUGAAGGAAAAGUGAUUGCAAGUUGGAUUAGUGUAAUUAAGGAACAGUAAAGAAUAUGAUAAGAGAUUAUAACAGGAGAACCUGAUUUUGAUUAGCGAGACUUCUCUGAGAAAGUAGCCUGAAGGGGUGGCUGGCUAGGCAGAGGAGUUGAGUGGGCCAUGAGAUGUGGAGAAGAGCAUUCCAGGCAGAAAAAAAAGCACCGUUGCAUCUUUGAAGGCCCCAAUGUGACGAGUUUUGUUCCUUUAGGGAACUAAAAGAAAGCCAGAGUGGCUGGAGCAAGGGAGAAUAUGAUAGGAAAUGAGACUGGAGAGGUAGGCAGGUGUGUAAGUCUGUUCAUAUGUCCUUAUGUCUUGGUAGAUUCUUGUAAUUAAGAUGACCAGAUCUUGAUAUUUAAUGUCAAAUUGGUUUCUAGAUAGAUUAUUCCAAUUUACACUCCCAUCAUCACUCUUUGUCCUCGUCUCUCCCAACCCUUACCUAUAAUGAGUAUUAUUGAGCUUUACAAGUUUAAUAGCUGAUUUCAUUUGUGUUUAUUGGUUACCGGUGAGGGUUAAUAUUUUGUGAAUUACUGUUUUUUUGUAGAUUAGUCUUACCGUUUUCAGUUGAGAUAAUUCUUUUUUGAAUUGAUUUAUCAGAGUUCUUUUCUAUAUUAAGUAUAUUACCUUUUGUUAUAGUUGUUUAAGUCCCAUUUUGUUAUUUGCCUUUUAGUUUGCUGUGUGGCCCACAAAUUGUUUCUUCUCUGCUUUACAAUUCAUGCUAUGCUUAUGUAUAUUAGAAUGGUGAUGUUAAAAUGUGAAUGUGUCGUUUCUAGAGUGCAAACCAACCAGCAGAAUAGCAGGAAGUUUGGAACGUGCUUGCUGGUGGAGGGAAACUGAUGCAGGUGUAAACUUUAUCAUAGCACCUGAGAGUUGAUUAUAAGUUUACGUCAAGAGAAAUUCUUGAUUUAGUCUCAAGUUUAAUGAAUUUCCUUUAAAUACAGAAAUAUUCCCAAGAUAUAAGGAACUUUGGCUUUACUAAUUUUAUCGUGCUCUUAAGUUAUCAUUUUCAGAGGCAUAUGAGGAAAGCACUGCAUUUCUUAUUGUAAAUCCUGUGAGCUGUGUACUUUUGAGGCGGUAAAAUAAUGUUAUUUGAGAACAGGAGCAAGAUACCUGUGAUUACUUGAUUUCAGUGUAAAGAGUCUUCUGUUUUCAGUAAUGACAGACUAAAUUAUUCAGACUUACUCUCCUGCUAAAAACAAUGAGAAAUGUUAUUCUCAGUAUGUAAAAAGUAUAGAGAAAAAAAUCUCUAAGAAAGAAGAGGAAGAGAGCCAGCAUGAUAGUGGUGAAUUGCCAGGCCAAUAUCUGGGUGAAGGCCAGCAUCGAGAAAGGUAAGGGCAGUCCUGGCAAACCAAAGCCGCGUUUCUUUUGUUCUGCAGCCUUACAGGGUGAGGGGGACUGAACGCCAGACUCAAGGCUCACCAAGGUAGACUGUCUAAGAUAUCCUCCCCAUAUGUUAACCUGGAACCCCAGAGAGCUGCACCCUCGGGGAAGGACGAACCAGCAUUAAUCUGCCUGUCUACCACAGGGGACUUAUAGAAGGUUGUCUUGGCACUGAGCAGGGAAGGGUCAAAAGGAAAAUAAAAAGCUUAUUCCAGAGAAGUUGAGGCCACAGACUGGCUAUGAUGCAGACUUGUAGCCCAAAGCCAUGUAGCCUGAAUAGAUCAAGGAACCUUAAGCCCUGAACUUGGUUUAAUGUUGUCCCCCACUGGUUUGCCUCCAGACACUUGACAGAAGUAAAUUUACAUCCUUUCUCAAGGAAGGCAUCUUCAUCCUAGACCUUUGGAAAUUCCUACAAAUGUUUUUUCAAGGGCAGUGAGCACCAGGCAAAGAUAACCAGGCAUACAAGGAAGCGAUUCCAAUGGUAAUGACACUUAGAGAACUUUACUAAUACUUGUGCUGUGUUACCAGUUCUUUUUUUCUUUUCUUUUCUUUUUUUGAGGAAGAUUAGCCCAGAGCUAAUAUCUGCCGCCCAUCCUCCUUUUUGCUGAGGAAGACUGGCCCUGAGCUAACAUCCGUGGCCAUCUUCCUCUACUUUAUAUGUGGGACACCUGCCACAGAAUGGCUUGACCUGGGAUCCGAACCAGUGAACCCUGGGCCGCAGAAGUGGAACAUGCAAACUUAACCGCUGUGCCACCGGGCUGACCCCCAGUUAUUUUUUUCUUUAUGAAGUGAUUCUGACAAGCUAUAUAUUAGAUACUUUGAACCUGGGGAUCUGAUGAUUUUAAAUUUUCCUUGGGUGAAUGAAAUGACAUUGGAAUCAGUGACUUCAUUGAUCUCCAUUUACACUUUUUUGAGUAGCGGCCUGAGUAUAUUCCAUUUUUCCUCAUAAUUUUUGUAGCUUAACAAGAUCUGUCCUAAUGACAGUGGAGAAUGUAGUGUUAGGAUUUGCUGAUGUCUACAGUGGCAAACUAUUCUUGAGGUAUCAGAAUAUAAAUAAAAUUGAGAUUUCUUCUCUCCCAUGUGGUACUCAGAUGUUUUAUUUCAGGAAUUUCUGGAUUGAGCUCAUAACCUAAAUGUUUGUUUUGUCAUGGCUUAAGAGGCAGUAAGCAAGAUAACAGAGACACUCUCCCCCUGCCCUAGGCUAUUCCUGCCCAGAACAAAUUGUUUUGUGUCUAUAUAUAUCCAUUAUUUCAGUACAUACAAACUUGUCAAAUACAGUUGUACAAAAUACAGUACAUAGAGGUCUUUUUUGAAAAGCAAGAGUUUAUUUAGUACCUGAGCUUUUUAUACAGUUUAGCUAUUUGGUCAUUGUUUUUACUUAAAUCCUAUCCAGGGCAUUUUUCCUUUAACUUAAAAGGCCAGAAACAAAAGUAUAUGAGAUAGCUACACUGUAUGAAAAGCAUUCUUUCCUAGACUAGGCCUUGCUAAAUUCAGAUGAAGUAUCUGAACUAUCCCAGGAACUUGAGACAUGCACGCAAUCACUAACUACUAGCUGCUUAGAGAGAUACCAGCCAGCAGCAACCAGCUUGCCUUGCUUAGAGAAUCUUGAGGGAUGUUUGUCCACUGACAGCUUACCCGUUUUGUGUGUUUUUCUUCAGGUGAUGCAGACAGAAAACAUUGUAAAUUCAAGCCUGAUCCCAACAUCCCUCCAACCUUCAGUGCCUUAAACGAGGACUAUGUUGGAAGUGGGUGGUCACGAGGACACAUGGCUCCAGCAGGAAAUAACAAAUUUUCAUCUAAAGCCAUGGCUGAAACAUUUUACCUUUCUAAUAUUGUGCCACAGAAUUUUGAUAAUAAUGCUGGAUAUUGGAACAGAAUAGAAAUGUACUGUCGAGAACUGACAGAGAGGUUUGAAGAUGUUUGGAUAGUCUCUGGACCAUUGACCUUACCUCACACUGCAAGUGAUGGAAAGAAAACAGUUAGUUACCAGCUGAGGUCAUCCAUGUGCUUUCCCUGAUGUGCCUGUUUCAAGAAGAUAUUGAUUCCAGACAAGUGAAACAUACCUGAAGAUUCUGGCCUGAACAUUAUAAUUGACCUGACAAGAAAGUGAGCUUCAGAUUUUACAACCUGGUGGUGGUGGUGGUGAUAAGGUGAUUGGUGAGGACAAUGUGGCAGUCCCCUCACACCUUUAUAAGGUGAUCCUGGCUCGCAGAAGCCCGGUGUCGACUGAACCUCUGGCACUAGGUGCCUUCGUGGUGCCCAAUGAAGCCAUUGGCUUCCAACCUCAGUUAAGUGAAUUCCAAGUGAGCCUUCAGGACCUGGAGAAGUUGUCAGGACUGGUGUUUUUUCCUCAUUUGGAUAGAACUAGUGAUAUCAGGAAUAUCUGCUCUGUAGACACCUGUAAGCUCCUGGAUUUCCAGGAGUUUACUCUGUACCUGAGCACAAGAAAGAUUGAAGGGGCCCGAUCAGUACUCAAACUGGAAAAGGUCAUGGAAAAUUUGAAGAAUGCAGGGAUUGAACCAGAUGAUUACUUCAUGAAUCGCUAUGAGAAGAAACUGGAAGAACUCAAAGCUAAGGAGCAGUCAGGAAUGCUGGAGAGAAAGCCAUCUUAGUUUUUAUCUCAGAAGAUGUGUGAUAUCAUCUGUGGUGAAGCAGGCGUGCCCUCUUCAAGCUAAUGUAUUUUAGAGGGCUUGCUUUAAAGAAAUGAUGGAACUCUAAAUUUAAGAUAAAAUUUCUCCCUAAAUGAUGAAAAAUCUAAAA